rnacentral:lncRNA from 1 species
AGUAUAACCAAGCUAUAACUUGCACAAAGCAACAAGGAAAAAAAAACCUUGCUAUCCCCAUUACUUUCCUAAUAGAGCAAGGACCCUACCACCCCUCACUCCAUACUCUGCCUCUGCCCCAAGCAAGACGCAGCACCUGCCAAACCAGGCACUUAAGGAAUAUGGUCCAACUUUUCAAACGCAAACUGGAGAGGAGACGCAGAUAAUUUCUUGAAGAGUGCAAGAAGACAGCAGAAAAGGUACUCUGAGGAAGGGAUGCGUGAGCUUUGGGGCUGUCCCCUCUGCCUGUUGGAGGAUUCCAAAUUCGCUUGCUUCAGAGACCCUUGGAAGCAGCACACUCAGGUCGCGGCCAGCCUCGGGCCUCGGUGAAGGAGGCAGUGUUUACACCUGUCACGAGGGAGGGGGAAGGAGAGCGAAGAAGCCCAAGCAAAGCCCCAAACUUCUGAACAGCUCCCUGGAGAACGCAGCCAGCGCGGAGCUUUGGGAGGUGGAAGCAAAGGGGCAGGGAGAGCCGGCGGUGGCCGGGGAGGGAAGGACUCCCACUUACCCGGCCGGUGCCCGGGAUGGCGAGGAGGGGGCCGUGCGCUUCGGGCGCCACCAGCGGCGUUCCCGCACUCGCCGCAGAAGAGAGCAGAGCCGGGAGCCCGCAGGCCCGCAGAGCCAGCUCCGUCCUCACAGCUCCCGGCUCCGCGGCGGGCAGAUGCUCCCGGCCCGGGUGAGGGUCUGGCUGCUGGGCCGGGCCUGGUCCCCGCACCCUCUUUCCCCGGCGCAGCUAGGGGAGCGGAGCGGCGGCGCUUACCUGGCUCCUUCGGGGCGGCUGCGAUGGGCAUGGCUCAGGGGCCCGGGGAGGAACUGACUCCCCGGGGAAGGACCGUCUAUUCCGACGCGGAACUGGUGAGAGCGGAAGGCCGGCUGCUCACAGCCCUGUCAGCGCAGCAGCACCAUGGACGCCCACCCGGAGUUUCACCGCUGCCGCGGGACCCCCAUCCCACUACCCUCCGCCCUCUUCCGCCGCCGCCGCCGCCUCCUCCACCUCCUCCGCGGAGACCCCCCGCCCACUCCACACACUCUCCCAUCAUGCAGCGGGGGAACCGCUGCCGCCGACACGUCACUUCCGGGCGCAGGUGGCUAGGUCGGGACCGGGCGCUGGUGGGUGCUGUGGGGUGGGGGAGGACACUCCAGGGGAAUUGGUGUCACAGAACGCUUAUCCCUGCGCAGGCGCUGUCGUGCAGAGCGCCGACCGCCAUUUUGGGUGCGGGCAAGCUGCCCUUUCCUUUUACUUCCUUGCGAGUCAUAGAGCUGUAGGGGGAUAGACGUCUUCCCGCACUCAGGCGCCGGUUGAGGCUGCGCUCCUGGCGAAGGACAGGUGCUCCUUUCAGCCGGUUAACGUUCAGCUCAAGACCGGAUUAAGUCUCUUGCUCUCCAAAUAAAAUUGUAAAGGUUUGGAAAUAUAGAACCACAUUUUUACCAAAAACCUACUAGAGAGCAUUCGUCAGCUUGCCCUUUUCGCCCCGAAAAACGACUUUUUCAUUCACAGCCUGUCUCUUCCUCUUUUUAAAUUUAUGCCGACAGAGGAAGAAGCUGAUAUUUAACAAAUAACAAGAGGUUGCGAUAAAUAGAAUUUAAGGUGGGAAAGCAGCCGCCAAACUGACAAAUCGUCUUCGAGACCGACAAGAAAAUAGUAGUCCGGAAUUUGGCUAAUGGAUGGAGAAGGUGGUCGUUUUUCAUAGACCCUUACGGAGAAUAUCUAGUGAAGCUAAAGAGAUCACCAUAAACUUAUGCAUUCAAACGCAUUUCUGGAACAGAGGUCGUAACCGAUUUUGUUUCCAUCAUCAGUCCUGAACAGUUGAUUAUUUAUAUAAUCAACUGUUAUUUAUAUAAAGGUAAUAAAAAUAUUACCUUUCCUCCUCCUUUACAAUGAAUAUCUGUUAGAACACCUGCCAGUGUAACAAUCAGACUACAAGGCUACAGGAUUAUGAUUACUGUCUCGGAUGAUGAGCCCGGGGUCCUACAAAUCAUGACCCCCGCCGGCCCCUCAUUCUGCCCAUAUUUGCCAAACGUCUGCAUCAGUAAUUUGAAUAAUUUAAAAUAGUUCCAAAACAGCAAAGCUCAGCAGUUACGCAAAGAAACAAGAAUGGAAAACAUCCCCUCAGGCACAGAGAAGUGUCCACCCCUUUGGGUGGAGGAAUUAUACAAAUCAGGAGAAAGAUAAGGACAAUAGCAGUUCAUCACGAUUUAUCCCGCCUCUGCAAUGUUCUAGACAAAUUAACUCGGAGCGCUCCAAUGGACCCGCAUUUGUCUCUUUACUAUUCAAUCGCUGUAAGAUAUACGGAGACUGCAUCACUUUAAAUGGGAGUAUCAAUUGCUUUGUGGUUAUGCUGGAUUUUGUGUUAUUGCUCAGUCACUAAAGUAAGAAAAAUCUAUAUGGCUUGUCAAAUUUAUGCCUAUUGUAUUUCGCCCCCUGCUGGUUUAGCUCGUGUGCAAGCUUGAAUUUGUGUGUGUGUAGAAACUAGAAAUUGAUUUUAAACGAACACAUGCUUGUUUUCAUUUUACAGCUCUACUAAACAGAAAUAUCAAAAUAAGAACAUAUGACUAGACCUUAAAGCAGACCCUACACUAAGAACAUGUUUAAACUAAAUGAAUUUAAACUGCACUCCAGCCUGCGCGACAGAGUGAAACCCUGUCUAAAAAAAAAUUAAAUUAAAUUGCACACCCCCCAUCAGCUUACAAUUUUGUAAUAGGGAAAUUGAGUACCUAUUUGGCCAACUAACUUGUAAUUGGUAAUCUUACAUGUAAUUCCGAAGACAGUGCCCUAAUGCUCAUGACAUUUUAUUACAAAGGGAAAGUAUUUGAGUGUUUUUAAGGUGAUAAAUCUGUGGGAAAUAUAAAGUCCAUUUCAUUUGGAGUCAAUGAUAGUAUUGUUUUUAUUUACCUUUUAAAAAUUAUGGCCAUAACUGCAUUACCUAAGAUUUGGCAUCAAGAAAAGAAGAAGAAAAAAAUUACCAGUUAACAUUUGUUGUAUUUACUUCUAGUUUUUUUUUCCUGUGCGUACUUUUUACAAACUUGUAAUCAUAAUUUAAGUAGAUUUUGUGUCCCUUUUGUGUUGUAAGCAUUUCCACCCAUCGUUUAAUGUAAAACCUUAAUUUUAAUUGGCUGCUUAGUAGUCAAUGGAAUGACCACUAUAUGGAUAGUUUUCAGUAUUAUAAAAUAAUACUUAGAUGAACAUUUUGUGUGUGUGGCUUUGUUCAAUUUUAGAAUUUUUUUUCUCAGUAUAAAAGUUACUAAGCGAAAAGGCAAUGAAUGUUUUAUUGGUAAUUUAUCAUCUCAUAUUAUUUUCCAAGAGACUGCUAAUUUAGAAUGCCACCAGCAAUAUAUGAGUGCACUAAUUUUACCACCUCCUUACCAACCAGCAGUGAAUGAUAAUUAAGAGGGGAAAAAAAGAUGGAAAGAAUAAAAAGUGAAAACAGUUUAAUUCAUUUUAUAUUGUGUAAGAAAUUAACAGACAAGCAAGAACAAAACCUCAGCAAUGUGUUGGUGUUCUGGAAAAGCAAUAUGCGUAGAACCUGGGUCUAUGACCAGUUCUGUUGUCACUAUGAUUUUGUAUAAGUUACUCAACCUCUCUUGACCUCAGUCUCCUUAUAUAACAAAUGAGAGAAUACAGUCAGAUCACAGGUUCUCAACCCUCUUAGGACAAAUAAUGUUUUGGCACAUGUAUCUCUUUAAGAAUACGGUAAAAGCUUUGGCUCUUUCUAUAGAAAAAUGCUUGUAUCCACAGACACUCAAAUUUCUCAUCCUAAAGCUCAUUCACAGAAGAGGGUCUUUGAACCACAGCUUAAGAAAUAUGCACCAGAUAAUCGCCAA